GGCUGCGUUGCGCAAUGGAUAACACGUCGGUCUACGGAACCGAAGAUUACAGGUUAAAAUCCUGCCGUGGUCG
rnacentral:tRNA from 1 species